UGAGGAAUAUUGGGCAAUGCCCGCAAGGGUGACCCAGCAACGCCGCGUGGAGGAUGAAUGUCGUAAGAUUGUAAACUCCUGUUAGAGGGGAAGAAUAGUACCGGUUGGACCGGUAUAUGACUGUACCCUCAGAGAAAGCCCCGGCUAACUACGUGCCAGCAGCCGCGGUAAUACGGAGGGGGCAAGCGUUGUCCGGAUUUACUGGGUGUAAAGGGCGCGCAGGCGGGAUAAAAAGUCAGUGGUGAAAUCCUACAGCUUAACUGUAGAACUGCCUUUGAUACUGUUACUCUUGAGUUCGGGAGAGAGAGACGGAAUUCCAGGUGUAGGGGUGAAAUACGUAGAUAUCUGGAAGAACACCAGUUGCGAAGGCGGUCUCUUGGUCCGACACUGACGCUGAGGCGCGAAAGCGUGGGGAGCAAAC
rnacentral:rRNA from 1 species